rnacentral:rRNA from 1 species
CGAAUGCUAUCGGAUUCAUUGGGCGUAAGGGUGUGUAGGUGGCGCCGUAAGUCGGAUGUGAAAUUUCGGAGCUUAACUCCGAAACUGCAUUCGAUACUGCGGUGCUUGAGGACUGGAGAGGAGACUGGAAUUUACGGUGUAGCAGUGAAAUGCGUAGAUAUCGUAAGGAAGACCAGUGGCGAAGGCGGGUCUCUGGACAGUUCCUGACACUGAGACACGAAGGCCAGGGGAGCAAACGGGAUUAGAUACCCCGGUAGUCCUGGCAGUAAACGGUGCACGUUUGGUGUGGGAGGAUUCGACCCCUUCUGCGCCGGAGCCAACGCGUUAAACGUGCCGCCUGGGGAGUACGGUCGCAAGAUUAAAACUCAAAGAAAUUGACGGGGGCCCGCACAAGCGGUGGAGUAUGUGGCUCAAUUCGAUGCAACGCGAAGAACCUUACCAGGCCUUGACAUGCAUCUCUAAACCGGUGAAAGCCGGCGAGUGUCGAAAGACACAAUUUGCACAGGUGCUGCAUGGCUGUCGUCAGCUCGUGUCGUGAGAUGUUGGGUUAAGUCCCGCAACGAGCGCAACCCCUGUGAACUGUUGCCACCGGAGCGAGAGCUCCGAGCACUCUGUUCAGACUGCCUCGCUUAAACGAGGAGGAAGGUGGGGACGACGUCAAGUCAGUAUGGCCCUUACGGCCUGGGCUGCACACGUACUACAAUGCCCAGUACAGAACGAUCCGAGACCGCGAGGUGGAGGAAAUCUAUCGAAAACUGGGCCCAGUUCGGAUUGGAGGCUGCAAUUCGCCUCCAUGAAGCCGGAAUCGCUAGUAAUGGCGUAUCAGCUACGACGCCGUGAAUACGUUCCCGGGCCUUGUACACACCGCCCGUCACAUCAUGAAAGCCGUUUGUACCCGAAGUCGCCCCUUAAAAGGCGCCGAAGUAUGGAUGGUGAUUGGGAUGAAGUCGUAACAAGGUAAC